CUAAAAUGCAUUAGCUGGAUCUGAAGGUCGGCGAUCCUCAGUGUGAUAAUUAUCUACGCUGUUGUAUUCCACCUGCAUGAGGUGCUACCGUCCUUAAGGAUGUGUAGCCCCCUAUGGAGAUCACGCUUCUAACCGUCUGUAAUGGACAAAAACACUUGACAUCUGACCUCAAAUCAGGUAGGACUACCCGCUGAACUUAA
rnacentral:misc_RNA from 1 species